GAUGAACGCUGGCGGCGUGCCUAACACAUGCAAGUCGAACGUGAAGGUCAGAAUGAGGACUUCGGUUUGAAUUUUGGCUGGAAAGUGGCGAACGGGUGAGUAACACGUAGGUAAUCUGCCUCGAAGUGGGGGAUAACCAUUGGAAACGAUGGCUAAUACCGCAUGGGACUGUCGAUAUGGGAGUAUCGACAGGUAAAGCUCUGGCGCUUCGAGAGGAGCCUGCGUCCGAUUAGCUAGUUGGUGGGGUAAAGGCCCACCAAGGCGACGAUCGGUAGCUGGUCUGAGAGGACGACCAGCCACACGGGGACUGAGACACGGCCCCGACUCCUACGGGGGGCAGCAGUGAGGAAUAUUGCACAAUGGGGGCAACCCUGAUGCAGCAACGCCGCGUGGAGGAUGAAGGCCUUUGGGUCGUAAACUCCUUUUUUGGGGGAAGAGGAAGGACGGUACCCCAAGAAUAAGUCACGGCUAACUACGUGCCAGCCGCCGCCGUAACAC
rnacentral:rRNA from 1 species